GGUGGCUUUACCUGUUCCCCCACCCUCCUCAUCCUCCUCACUGUGGCUCGGGGCUAUAUUUGCAGAGUCACCACCUCCAGCAGGCGUGGAUACCACACUCCGCGUGCAGCAGCGCCCCAGGCUCCGGACCCAGCUCACCCAACAACAGCUCCGGGAGCGUCAGCGCGGAGAACGGUAUCGCGCCCGCCGUCCCCAGCAUCCCGGCGGAGACGAGUUUGGCGCACAGACUUGUGGCACGAGAAGGCUCGGCCGCUCCACUUCCCCUCUACACAUCGCCAUCCUUGCCCAACAUCACGCUGGGCCUGCCUGCCACCGGCCCCUCUGCGGGCACGGCGGGCCAGCAGGACGCCGAGAGACUCACCCUUCCCGCCCUCCAGCAGAGGCUCUCCCUUUUCCCCGGCACCCACCUCACUCCCUACCUGAGCACCUCGCCCUUGGAGCGGGA
rnacentral:lncRNA from 1 species